AUCAAUUUAAUACAUUUAAUUCGUUACACCUACAUUACUGAGCGCAAGGGAGUGCAGCCAACAAAUACAUUCAGGUGUGUUCGACUUAACACCGAGAUGCGCAGACAGCACGUGGUAUGACAUCAAAGUACCGCGAGAGUUUGGGAAAGCCCCGGAAAAGGUUUGAUCUCGCGGUACUUGAUGUCACGAUCGGUUUGCGUGUAGAUCAGCAUGAAGUAGAACACAUCUGAAAGAUGUGUGGGCUGCCUGCACUCAACGUUGCGAUAAUUCAGUAGAGUGUAACCUCAAUCGGUUUUUGCAGCUUCUGGGUGUCGUGUCGAACGAUCGCAGAACGAUUUUUUGUUCUUUUCCAACUCGAUUUUUAACUCCCUAGACUAGUAGGAUGUUCCAACGGGUGAAGCAACAGUGCUGACGGCAGAGUUUCAGUGUCAAUUUUUCAUGCCAUGAUCACUGGGGCGGAAACCAUUAUGACGUUGCCUUGGACAUCAAACUAAACCAUCAAAUUCUGGCUUUUUUCUAACAUCGAAAUCUCAGAAGGCCAGGACUAAGAUGGACGCAGCCUCCACAUGCAACCUUGCAUUUGAGGAACACCCAUAGAACGGAGAAAGUCAUGGGUUCUGCUGCUGAGGUUGUCAUAAAGCAUGCUUUUUCCAUUUGUUGCAUUGGGCAAUAUUAUCAAAAGAUUCUGAAAGAAAUAAGAUAAUUUUCAAAGCAUUAACAUGAAUAUGAAAGCAUUAAGUCAUUAAUGAUCAUCUUUUAUUAUUGUUUAUUUAUAGUGUCUUUUAUUCUGCUUACCUGACUCAUGCAGAAUUCUGGCUUGAUGUUUGGUCCACCUGUUAGCUGGCUCUGGUGCUUGGUAGUCUUCUCAAACCUCUGAAUCAAGGCCACCAUGAGAGGCCUUCUGAAGACCAUCAUUACGCUUCAGAUCCAGUUGUCUUAACUAUGAGCCUACCACAAUCCCUGUGCACCAGCUAUGGAAAGUGCAGACCAAACUUCUACCUCCACCUAUAGAACUGAACUGGAGUCUGUGAACUAAUGCUGUGUUCGAGCCAACUGGAACAGCAAACAAAGUUGAGUAUCCGACCUCUCAACUUGUGACUGAUCGAUCAGCACCAACCUCAACGAGAUGCAUCAUUUGACAUUGCAGACAAAUCCUUUCUCUUUUUAAUGCAGCACUUAAGGAUGAACCACCCUGAUCUACUAAGAUGCACAGAUUCAACUCUGGCCCAGCAUCAUCCCCACACCUCAUCUGCCAUCAGUUUAAUUUAAUGUCUGUCAAUUGCAAAUGCUAUUUAUUUCAGUUAUAUUACAACUUAAUGUUAACUUUAAUUGAGACUAGUAUUGUGUAAAGCUGGGGUUUCCAAACUUUUCAUUUCAAAACCUAUUAGACAAGUGUAAUCUAUUCUAGACCCACUAAAAUAUUUUUACAUAUACAUUUUUUUAAUGGGGUAAAACACAUUUGUUCUCUUUCAGUGGAGUCAUUUUAUUUUCAUAAUAUUUCAUAAUGUAAAGCAGUGGUUCUUAACGUUAUUCCUCGAGGCCCACUGCUCUGCACAUUUUGUAUGUCUCUUUUAUCUGACAGA